CCUACGGGAGGCUGCAGUGAGGAAUAUUGGUCAAUGGACGAGAGUCUGAACCAGCCACGUAGCGUGAAGGAUGACUGCCCUAUGGGUUGUAAACUUCUUUUAUAUGGGAAUAAAAUGUUCCACGUGUGGGAUUUUGUAUGUACCAUAUGAAUAAGGAUCGGCUAACUCCGUGCCAGCAGCCGCGGUAAUCCGGAGGAUCCGAGCGUUAUCCGGAUUUAUUGGGUUUAAAGGGAGCGUAGGUGGAUUGUUAAGUCAGUUGUGAAAGUUUGCGGCUCAACCGUAAAAUUGCAGUUGAAACUGGCAGUCUUGAGUACAGUAGAGGUGGGCGGAAUUCGUGGUGUAGCGGUGAAAUGCUUAGAUAUCACGAAGAACUCCGAUUGCGAAGGCAGUUCACUGGACUGCAACUGACACUGAGGCUCGAAAGUGUGGGUAUCAAACAGGAUUAGAUACCCCUGUAGUC
rnacentral:rRNA from 1 species